GUUCUUUUACCAAUCACCCUAUCUCUAAUUUUGUAUCGUAUAAUAAAUUGUCCUUCUCCUUUCCUUUUUCUUUGUCAUUAUCCUCUAUUGCUCUUUCUAAGUCCUACAGGGAGGCACUUUUUCAUCCAGGGUGGAGGAAAGCUAUGGAAGAAGAAAUAAACACUUUAAGAUUGAAUCAUACUUGGGACCUUGUUCCUAAGCCUGCUGAUACUUAGGUUGUUGGUUGUCGUUGGGUUUUUACUGUUAAACAGAAGCCUGAUGGUAGUAUUGAUCGUCUCAAAGCUCGACUUGUUGCUAAAGGCUACACUCAGACUUAUGGCUUUGAUUAUACUGAGACGUUCUCUCUUGUGGCCAAACUGAAUUCUGUUCGUAUGAUAAUCUCUCUUGCAGCUAAUCUAGACUGUCACCUUCAUCAACUUGAUGUUAAAAAUGCCUUUCUGCACGGUGACCUUAACGAGAUAGUCUAUAUGACUCAAUCACCUAGGUUUGAGUAUAAGGGGGAGUGUGUGUCAUCUCAAGAAGUCUAUCUAUGGCCUUAAAUAGUCCCCUCGUGGAUGGUUUGAUAAGUUUUGUAAAGCAGUGGUAGCUCAUGGUAUGACCAGAAGCCAAGUUGACUACUCUCUCUUUUUUAAGAAAACGAAACGUGGUAUUGUGAUUCUUGUGGUGUAUGUAGAUGAUAUUGUUAUCACUCGCAGUGACAAAGAUGGGAUACAAGUUUUAAUCCAUCACUUGAGUUCUAGCUUCCUUACUAAGGAUUUGGGCAAACUUCGGUAUUUUCUACGAAUUGAGGUGGCUUGGUCAAAGCAAGGCAUUAGUCUUUCUCAGCGGAAGUAUACUCUUGAUCUCUUACCGGAUACUGGAUAUCUUGGUUUGAAACUUGUAUCUACACCCAUGAAGACUAAUGUAAAACUUAAGGUGGAUGAUGGUGACCCACUCGAUGAUCCAGAGAUGUAUCGGAGACUUGUAGUUAGUGUUGUGAGCUAGUUCAUGACCAGUCCUCAGGUACCUCACAUGGAGGCGGUUGUACGCAUCUUGAAGUAUCUCAAGGGUGCUCCAGGACGUGGUCUGCUUUAUUGAUCUUCUGGACAUCUUCGGAUUGAGGGAUAUACAGAUGCAGAUUGGGCUUGUUCUCCUUCUGAUCGAUUGUCCACCACGGGUUAUUGAACCUUCAUAUGAGGAAAUCUAGUAACUUGGAGGAGUAAGAAACAGUCAGUUGUGGCUCGUUCCAGUGUUGAAGCAGAGUAUCGUACCAUGACACACUGCCUGUGGACUUACUUGGUGGAAAACUCUUUUACAGGAACUUGAGAUUUCAGUCCAGUACCCAUUUCCUCUCCAUUUUGACAAUCAGGCAACUAUUCAUAUUGCUAGCAAUCCAGUCUACCAUGAGAGGACUAAACACAUUGAAGUAGAUUGCCAUCUCAUUCGAUCUAAAGUUGACUCGAAUGAGAUUGUUACACCUUUUGUUCCUUUUGGCAGACAGCUGGCAGACAUCUUCACUAAGGCACUUCCUAAGAACUCUAUUGAUUUUAUAUGUAGCAAGCUGGGAGUUUUUGAUAUUUACUCUCCAGCAGUGUUGUAUGAGUUGUCACACGUGUAUAGUUAGUAUUGUAUGAGUUGUCACCUACCCCUCAUUACCAUAUAUAGAAUUACCAUGUAUAGGGUUUUCUUGUUCUCCACUCACCUACUCCCGUGGCUUCUCCUAUAUAAACACUAUUAUAUUAUUGUAUUACAGACUCAAUAACAUAUACGUUUUCAUAUAUUCUUUCCCUCUCUCUCUCUCUUUCAACAUCAGCUGUGGCGCAAGUAGCGCUUUUCUCGGCUGGUUCGAUUUCUGAAAUUCUUAGACAGAAUAGCCUCGCCACUUGGCGAACCAAAGACAUCCAAAGAGAGAGCCUUGCAUUGUGAUUUUUAAACUUUAGCACUAAUAUUUUUUCAAUCUCUAUUUCCAUCAUUAGUAUAUUGGCUAUGUGCUUUCUAAUAGACAUAUUCAACAAUAUAAAUAAAAAUGAUGACAACAAUAAACAAAAUAUAUAAUUUUAUAAUAAAAUUAAUAAAAUUAUAAACUAAUUUAAGUUAUAGAACAAUAGAAACUGAUUUUGAAAAUUUUGGUCCAAUGAUCCAACAAAUUCUUCAAUAGAAUAGAAGUGUUGUAUUCAAAGUCUUAUUGUGAGAUUGUAAAUUGUAAGAGUGGAGAAGAUGAAAAGAAAAAGGUUCUAAUGAGAAGAGAAAAAAUAUGUGAGAAAUAAGAAAAAAAGAGAA